GACGAACGCUGGCGGCGUGCCUAAUACAUGCAAGUUGAGCGAUGAAGAUUGGUGCUUGCACCAAUUUGAAGAGCAGCGAACGGGUGAGUAACGCGUGGGGAAUCUGCCUUUGAGCGGGGGACAACAUUUGGAAACGAAUGCUAAUACCGCAUAACAACUUUAAACAUAAGUUUUAAGUUUGAAAGAUGCAAUUGCAUCACUCAAAGAUGAUCCCGCGUUGUAUUAGCUAGUUGGUGAGGUAAAGGCUCACCAAGGCGAUGAUACAUAGCCGACCUGAGGGGGUGAUCGGCCACAUUGGGGCUGAGACACGGCCCAAACUCCUACGGGAGGCAGCAGUAGGGAAUCUUCGGCAAUGGACGAAAGUCUGACCGAGCAACGCCGCGUGAGUGAAGAAGGUUUUCGGAUCGUAAAACUCUGUUGGUAGAGAAGAACGUUGGUGAGAGUGGAAAGCUCAUCAAGUGACGGUAACUACCCAGAAAGGGACGGCUAACUACGU
rnacentral:rRNA from 1 species